AAAAUGAAGAUUUGUGGAGGGGUAAAAGUGUGAAAGAGGAAAUUAAUUAUAUUAUUUUAGGUUAAAAUAAAUAGUAAAAGGAGAGGAGUCAAACUUGACAGUAUGUAUAAUUGAGGGGAAAAAAGCAAGUGUAAGAAAAGAAGAACAAGGGUUUGAGAGAGAAGAAGAAUCCAUAGCCAAGCUUGAAACUUUUGCUAGAAAUUCA
rnacentral:lncRNA from 1 species